rnacentral:lncRNA from 1 species
CCGGCCCCCUCCUGCUGUCCAAGGUGGUGGAGACAUGAAACGCCACAGGCAUCCCUGCCACCUGCCGCAGGUCCAGGCAUCCCAGGCCCCGGGAGCCGAGUGAGGCCAAGGUCCCCAGCUGAGCACGGAACACGAAUUUCUGGUGGCCCGAGGAGCUCCUGCAGGAAACCGUGGGACAAGCCUGGUUCAACGUGAAUUCUGGGUGUGACGACCCGCUUCCUCCAGUGGCACUGUGACGUCUUCAAUGUUGCUGGGCCUCCCCACCCCCAUCCCUGCCGGCCACUGCUGUCCCCUUUAAACUGCUCAGACGUUCCCUUGUCAACAUUUCUAAGUCCCUCGGUGGGAGGGAGUAUGCACGGGACCCCAAGGAUGGUGUUCCAGGAUUCAGAGAUUGAGGCCCAUAACCUCGCCCACCCUUGUCCAUCCUGCAGGCCUGCCCUUCCC